GUUGAUCCUGCCGGAGGUUACUGCUAUCGAGGUUCGACUAAGCCAUGCGAGUCGAAUGUAGCAAUACAUGGCGUACUGCUCAGUAACACGUGGACAACCUACCCUCCGGACGGGGAUAAACCCGGGAAACUGGGUAUAAUACCCGAUAGAUCUCGGCUGCUGGAAUGCACCGAGGUCGAAAGCUCCGGCGCCAGAGGAUGGGUCUGCGGCCUAUCAGGUAGUAGUGGGUGUAGCGUACCUACUAGCCUACGACGGGUACGGGUUGUGAGAGCAAGAGCCCGGAGAUGGAUUCUGAGACACGAAUCCAGGCCCUACGGGGUGCAGCAGGCGCGAAAACUUUACAAUGCUGGAAACAGCGAUAAGGGGACCUCGAGUGCCAGGUUACAAAUCUGGCUGUCGUGAUGCCUAAAAAGCAUUGCAUAGCAAGGGCCGGGCAAGACCGGUGCCAGCCGCCGCGGUAACACCGGCGGCUCGAGUGGUAACCGUUAUUAUUGGGUCUAAAGGGUCUGUAGCCGGCCGGAUAAGUCUCUUGGGAAAUCUGGCAGCUUAACUGUCAGGCUUUCAGGAGAUACUGUCUGGCUCGAGGCCGGGAGAGGUGAGAGGUACUUCAGGGGUAGGGGUGAAAUCUUGUAAUCCUUGAAGGACCACCAGUGGCGAAGGCGUCUCACCAGAACGGACCUGACGGCAAGGGACGAAAGCUAGGGGCACGAACCGGAUUAGAUACCCGGGUAGUCCUAGCCGUAAACGAUACUCGCUAGGUGUCGGCCACGGUGCGACCGUUGUCGGUGCCGUAGGGAAGCCGUGAAGCGAGCCACCUGGGAAGUACGGCCGCAAGGCUGAAACUUAAAGGAAUUGGCGGGGGAGCACCACAACGG
rnacentral:rRNA from 1 species